AGAAAGAAGGAACAGCAAACCCUGGAGGCUAACCCAGAGAAUUCAGAGCAACCCUAAAGGAAACCCUGAAGGAAACUCAUUUGCACAAAGGUUACCUCCGCCCAACUCAAUCCGGCACCAACCCUAAGAGUGAUCUGCCAAUUCAAUAUUGCAAUUCAAUUGCCAACAGGUUUGCACUACCACUACCGCUUUAUGCUUCCAAUUUACAUGUGGUAUU
rnacentral:lncRNA from 1 species